rnacentral:lncRNA from 1 species
AGGUUGACAUUCCUAAUAGUGAACACGAGAGAAGGUCGACCAAUCUUUGCCACUGUCUCAACCCGAUAUUUAUAAUAAAAAUGUUAAUUUAUUUUUUCUAAAUUCAGCAGCCAAUUUGUAGUUAAUUUUGUUACGUACAUCUUACAUCUCAUUCUUAUGUUAUUAAAUUGUUUUAUUUUAAACUAAUAUAUUUUUUUUUAUGAAACUAAUAUAUUCACUACUCAAA